rnacentral:rRNA from 1 species
UACCAGCACCCCGAGUGGUCGGGACGUUUAUUGGGCCUAAAGCAUCCGUAGCCGGCUCUACAAGUCUUCCGUUAAAUCCACCUGCUUAACAGAUGGGCUGCGGAAGAUACUAUAGAGCUAGGAGGCGGGAGAGGCAAGCGGUACUCGAUGGGUAGAGGUAAAAUCCGUUGAUCCAUUGAAGACCACCAGUGGCGAAGGCGGCUUGCCAGAACGCGCUCGACGGUGAGGGAUGAAAGCUGGGGGAGCAAACCGG